GAUGAACGCUGGCGGCGUGCCUAAUACAUGCAAGUCGGGCGAAAAGAUAAGGAGCCUGCUCCUUUGACGUUAGCGACGGACAGGUGAGUACCACGUGGGGGAGCACACUAUAUGAAUGGAAUAGCUAAGAGAAACCAGGGCUAGUGGCAGAUAGAAUUAACAACCGGAUGGUUCUAAAGUGUCUGAUGGGUUUGCUAUCAAGUAUAGAUCGACCCGCGCCGUAUUAGCUAGUCGGUAAGGUGACGGCUUACCAAGGCACUGAUACGUAGCCGACCUGAGAGGGUGAUCGGACACACUGCAACUGAGACACGGUCCAGACUCCUACGGGAGGCAGCAGUAGGGAAUCUUCCGCAAUGGGCGAAAGCAUGACGGAGCAACGCCGCGUGAGUGAAGAAGGUCUUCGGAUCUUAAAACUCUGUUAUUAGGGAAGAACAAAUGUGUAAGUAACUGUGCACGUCUUGACGGUACCUAAUCAGAAAGCCACGGCUAACUACGUG
rnacentral:rRNA from 1 species